CUUGCGAGUUGUGAAGGGAUUUUGCCUCUAAGAGAGAUGCUCGAAAGGUCUAAAGACCCUAGCUGCCUCAAAUGCCCUACAGACGAAGAAAUGUUACCGGAGAAAGCAUUGUGUGACAAGUUUAGAAGAUAAAGCGCCGCGAGUUCUCCGAUUUCUGCAGGUAUUUGGCCAUCAGAGUCAUUGCACGAGAAAUCAAUGGAGGUGAAGACUGUUAAGAUUUUGAUCGAUAAUUUGCAGGCUAAGCCAGGAGUCAUUGCUCGUUGGACGUCCAAUCUUGCCGUGAAAUUGGUUCGAUCGAAGAACAAGAACACGCAUGGUGGAUAUAUUCUUCAAUUGACAUGGAAAGGUAUCAUAUAUCUGGUUAUUCCCAAGGUCUAAAACCUCCAAAUCUUUGCAAUUCGACAAUGAACUAGGUACCUGCUCUCCAAUGUCGUUUCCACUUAGGUCUAGAGUUCUUAGGCCGCACAUACUUGGAACUGUAUUAGGAAUAAAGCCUUUGAAGGAGUUUUCUUUCAGAUUUAGUACUACUAGAUUCGUGGUCAUCUUAGUUAGACACAGGGGAGGAAACAACAUGCCACCCAUAUUAUUAUGAGAUAGAUCCAUUAUCUUGAGAUUUAUAGAUGUGCAUAAGGAUUCAGGAAUAUUACCUUGAAUUUGGUUUCUUGAUGCUGAAAAGAAUACUGCAUAAUUUAUGUACUUUCCAAUAUCAAAUGGAAGAACAUAAUUGAAACUGUUGUUGGAAUAAUCCAAGUAAUAGGCUGAUGGAGCGAAGAAUUCGAGUGGCCCUUGAAAUUUGUUGGAAUGGAGGUCAAAAAGGUCUAGAUGGGUUGCUAGUGUUGGGAUAUGGAGCCUGAUGCCUAAAUCUGGUAGACAUAUAUUUGGAAGAUAUUUCGUAAAGAUCUGAUAGAGAUAUACGAUAUUUAGUAAAGAUUUGAUAGAGAUAUAUUUGUUAGGUGUAUUGUAUUCUAUCUUGUUGUACCUAUCUGAAGUCAUCCAUACAAAAUUUUUAGCCAAUAUUCUCUUUGCAUUUUCUAUCUCCUGUUCUUUGUGUUUAUAUUGAUCGAGUGUGUGCGUUGUUGAGCGAUCCUAACAGUUGGUAUCAGAGCUAACAACUGGUAUCGAUCCUAACAGCGAGGUUCUGUGGUGAAUCUUCGAAACCGGUGAGCGAGUUGCAAGAAAGAUUUAAAUGAUGUAAACUUGUGAGUUCCCAAAUCCAGUGAGGUAUUUCUCCUUGAAGUUCAUUAUCAGAGAGAUCGAGAGAGACGAGGUUGGAUUGGUUUUUCAAGAACUCAGGGAAAGCCAAUUCUAAUUCGGUCAUUUGAGGAAAGGCGGUCGAGAAGGGUAUCAAGUAAGGAAGAAGACACAUUGGAGAGCUCCUUCAAACUACCAUUAAAUCUGUUGUAGCUGAGUUGAAUUCUCUGGAUUGAUUCAAGAUGGAAUAGAGAUAAGGGAACGUUUCCAGUGAGUGAAUUGUUACGUAAUUCAAGAACAACAAGAUUGGUAAGCCUUCAAGACUCUUCAAUAACGAAAACGAUGGAAUUGUGCCAACGAAUCUGUUCCUCGAAAGAGCGAUAUAUGUCUAAUCUGGUCAAGUUCUCGAGAACACCAGUCGAAUCUGGCAGUGUCCAGAUUUUGAAGGGGUCCUUCGAAUUUGAACAAUGGGAGAGAACCUUGCAGAAAAACAUUAUUGGAUAGGUCCAGAGUUUGAAGAUUUGGUCCCUUGAAUAUGCUUUGUGGAAAUACUCCAAGCAAUCCUGAAUCAGACAUAUUAAGCGCACGCAAAUUGGAGAGUCGUUCGAAUCCGAACGGGAUCGUGGAAUUGAACCGAUUCGAAGCCAAGUUCAGAUUUUGCAUGAACUGAAGACUGAAAAGACUGCUUGAAUUAUCAAUCCUCCAGAGUAAUUGCCUUUACCUGAAAAUAACCUGAAAAUAAGUAGUAUGUUAUGAAAUACUUAGUAAGUUCCUCUGCGAGAAAAUUAGGAGUAGCAUAUGUUAGAUAAGGAGUAU